AUGGCAUCGUCGAAGCACAUUGGACUAAGGUGUCAUUCGGAAAAUCUGGAGUUUCUGAAAUGUAAGAAGAAGGAUCAGAACCCUGAGAAGUGUCUCGAUAAAGGCCGUGAUGUUACUCGAUGUGUUCUUGGACUUCUGAAGGAUUUACACCAAAAGUGCACGAAAGAGAUGGACGAUUAUGUUGGUUGCAUGUACUACCAUACAAAUGAAUUUGACUUAUGCCGCAAAGAGCAAGAAGCAUUUGAGAAAAAAUGUUCUUUGGAAUGA